rnacentral:rRNA from 1 species
GUGCCAGCAGGCCGCGGUAUCAGGGUCCAGGCGGGUCUCGAGAAAGUGCAGCUCGUUGCCGUGGGAGCGGUUGGCGGCCUGGAAGCUGUCACGGUCAUAGGGCUUGCUGCUGAACAGGGUGAUGCGCAUGGGAGCCUCGCGAUAAGGGGCGACUGCCGACAGGGUGCGACAGUUGCCCGCCGCGGCCUGCUGGCAC